ACGGCCAUACCUAGGCGAAAACACCAGCUCCCGUCCGAUCACUGCAGUUAAGCGUCUGAGGGCCUCGUUAGUACUAUGGUUGGAGACAACAUGGGAAUCCGGGGUGCUGUAGGCU
rnacentral:rRNA from 1 species